AAAGACCUAUAGGACCUUACCCUACAUCAU
rnacentral:tRNA from 1 species